GACAGAGGAUGCAAGCGUAUCCGGAAUGAUUGGGCGUAAAGCGUCUGUAGGUGGCUUUUUUAAGUCCGCCGUCAAAUCCCAGGGCUCAACCCCUGGACAGGCGGUGGAAACUACCAAGCUGGAGUACGGUAGGGGCAGAGGGAAUUUCCGGUGGAGCGGUGAAAUGCGUAGAGAUCGGAAAGAACACCAACGGCGAAAAGCACUCUGCUGGGGCCCGACACUGACACUGAGAGACGAAAAGCUAGGGGGAGCGAAAUGGG
rnacentral:rRNA from 1 species